CCGAGAGAUCGGGCGUUCCCCUUCGGGGGGACAGGGUGACAGGUGGUGCAUGGUUGUCGUCAGCUCGUGUCGUGAGAUGUUGGGUUAAGUCCCGCAACGAGCGCAACCCUCGACCUUAGUUGCCAGCAUUCAGUUGGGCACUCUAAGGUGACUGCCGGCUAAAAGUCGGAGGAAGGUGGGGAUGACGUCAAAUCAUCAUGCCCCUUAUGACCUGGGCUACACACGUGCUACAAUGGGCGGUACAAAGGGUCGCGAACCCGCGAGGGGGAGCCAAUCCCAAAAAGCCGCUCUCAGUUCGGAUUGCAGGCUGCAACUCGCCUGCAUGAAGCCGGAAUCGCUAGUAAUCGCGGAUCAGCAUGCCGCGGUGAAUACGUUCCCGGGCCUU
rnacentral:rRNA from 1 species